rnacentral:lncRNA from 1 species
CCCCUCCACUCAGUAUUUUUGUUAAACUGAAAACCCAAACAUAUGGCAGCAGAUCCCCAAGGUCUGCCAUGAGAGGUGACUGUAUAGUUCCCAUUAAGGAAAAGCACCUUUAGUAAAUCCGCUUUCUCUGUGAGAGCGUCCCAUGUCUGGAAUACACUGCCAUCAGACACACAUAACUGCACCACAUAUCACACUUUCACAAAUUGCAUGAAGACAUGGCUAAAGGUCAAUCAGACUUGUGAACAUAAUCACUAGCUGUGUAUUGCCACUUUCCAUGUUGUCUGUUGUCUGUAGCUUGAGAGGUGUGAAAACACUGUUGUUUUUAUGGAUUUUGUCUUGUUGCUUUUUGUUCUAUGUUGCUCUGUCUGUAUGCUACAUCUUGCUUGUCCUAUGUUACUCUGCGUGUGCUCACUGUUCAAUGAUUGUCUAUAUUGUAAUUGUUUUUAAUAACCUGCCCAGGGACUGCGGUUGAAAAUUAGCCGGCUGGCUAAAACCGUCACUUUUACUGAAACGUUGAUUAAUGUGCACUGUCCCUGUAAAAAUAAAAUAAACUCAAACUCAAACUCUUGGUGUUUGUAAAUAUUGUAGAAUGUUUAUUUGUCAAAUUCUUGACACAACAAUCUGGUUUGUGUAUAAACUCAAUUCAACUGAAUGAAAUGAUGUGCCAGAUGUGACUAAUAAAGGGUCAUCAACCAGAUGGAAGAAGAGAGGUGGAAAUGUUUUAAUAUUGAUCACAAUAUGACAGUACAGUAAUAGAUAGAAGAGAGGUGUAAAUGUUUUAAUAUUGAUCACAAUAUGACAGUACAGUAAUAGAUAGAAGAGAGGUGUAAAUGUUUUAAUAUUGAUCACAAUAUGACAGUACAGUAAUAGAUGGAAGAAGAGAGGUGGAAACGUUUUAAUAUUGAUCACAAUAUGACAGUACAGUAACAAGGGUUGUGUUCAGUACAUAGAAGUGGGUCUAAUUCAGUUGAAGAGGAAGCUUUUAAAUUCACACAAAACAGGACACUAAUCAUUCUGUUUUCACUACUGUAUGAUGCUGUACAAACACACAUACACAUGGAUUAGGUGUUGUAGAUAGGUAGUGGAGUAGGGGCCUGAGGGCACACAUCGUGUGUUGUGAAAUAUAUUGUUAAUGUAUUGUCAUAUUUUUUAAAUGUUGCCGAACCCCAGGAAGAGUAGCUCCUGCAGUAGCUAAUGGGGAUCCAUACAUAAAUAUAUCAUAAAUACAAUUACCUCUAAUACCUCUGGGAUUUUGUCCUCUCUUAUCUCUGAUCACAG